AUACCAUGGUGAUGGAACUUUCACAAUAACUCAUUGAAUCACUUCCAGGCCUCAUAUAAAGAUUAGUCAUCAAGUUGUUGGAAUAUGGUGAUUUCAUUUUGAAAUUU
rnacentral:snoRNA from 1 species